rnacentral:rRNA from 1 species
AUUGAACGCUGGCGGCAGGCCUAACACAUGCAAGUCGAGCGGAUGAAGGGAGCUUGCUCCUGGAUUCAGCGGCGGACGGGUGAGUAAUGCCUAGGAAUCUGCCUGGUAGUGGGGGAUAACGUCCGGAAACGGGCGCUAAUACCGCAUACGUCCUGAGGGAGAAAGUGGGGGAUCUUCGGACCUCACGCUAUCAGAUGAGCCUAGGUCGGAUUAGCUAGUUGGUGGGGUAAAGGCCUACCAAGGCGACGAUCCGUAACUGGUCUGAGAGGAUGAUCAGUCAAAUGGGAACUGAGAACCGGUCCACGCCCCAAGGGGGGGCAGCAGGGGGGAAUUUUGGAAAGUGGGGGAAAGCCUGACCCAGCCAUGCCGGGGUGUGGAAAAAGGGUUUCGGUUUUUAAAGAAUUUUAAGUUGGGGGGAAGGGCAGUAAGUUAAGACCUUGCUGUUUUGACGUUACCAAAAAAAUAAGCACCGGCUAACUUCGG